rnacentral:rRNA from 1 species
UAAUACAGAGGGUGCAAGCGUUGUUCGGAAUUAUUGGGCGUAAAGCGCGUGUAGGCGGCUUUGCAAGUCGGGUGUGAAAGCCCUCAGCUUAACUGAGGAAGUGCGCCCGAAACUGCUUGGCUUGAGUACCGGAGAGGAUGGUGGAAUUCCCGAAGUAGAGGUGAAAUUCGUAGAUAUCGGGAGGAACACCGGUGGCGAAGGCGACCAUCUGGACGGAUACUGACGCUGAGACGCGAAAGCGUGGGUAGCAAACAGGAUUAGAUACCCUGGUAGUCCACGCCGUAAACGAUGAGAACUAGGUGUCGCGGGUGUUGACCCCUGCGGUGCCGUAGCUAACGCAUUAAGUUCUCCGCCUGGGAAGUACGGCCGCAAGGCUA